AAGUCGUAACAAGGUCUCCGUUGGUGAACCAGCGGAGGGAUCAUUACAGAGUGUAAAAACUCCCUAAACCCAUUGUUUAUCUAUCUUAUAGCGUCUACUUUGGUAGGCAAUCCCAGGGCGGGAUUGAUGCUUCGGCGCCUACCAAAGAAGACCUAAAAACUCUUGAAUUUCUUGAAACUCUGAGAAUAAAACAAAUAAUUAAAACUUUCAACAACGGAUCUCUUGGUUCUG
rnacentral:misc_RNA from 1 species